UACGGAGGGGGCUAGCGUUGUUCGGAAUUACUGGGCGUAAAGCGCGCGCAGGCGGUCUUCCAAGUCAGUGGUGAAAGCCCGGAGCUCAACUCCGGAACUGCCAUUGAAACUGUAAGACUUGAGGACGAGAGAGGUGAGUGGAAUUCCCAGUGUAGAGGUGAAAUUCGUAGAUAUUGGGAAGAACACCAGUGGCGAAGGCGGCUCACUGGCUCGUAUCUGACGCUCAGGCGCGACAGCGUGGGGAUCAAACAGG
rnacentral:rRNA from 1 species